CGCCAGUGCCAACGCACACCGCGGGUUUGGUUUUCUAGCUUCGGUACGAGCCUGAUCCCAUUGUGUGUUGGUAUUUCGGUUCAUCGUACCAGCGCACCACGACAAUCUCAUGAACCCAGCGUGCCGUGGUACGCGCCGUGGUAUUAAAACCGGUUUGUACCGCCAGCGUGUACCACGGCACGUACCAAGGGGAAAACCACUCUGCUCAUUGCCCUCGAGUAGGCUGUGCCCUAAAGUUACCCAAACGUGCCCGAAGGUGCCCGAAUGUUGCCCAAAUGUGUCCUGAAGCUUCUCAAAAUAAAUAAUUUGUGUACGAUGCUUAGCAACCCUGUUACUUUGUUUACACUUUUUUGGACUGCUCUCGGUUUGUGUUGUGAAUUUUUCUCGGAGAACAAACAGCUGCUCGAGGAAUCAUACCUCCUGCAAGCGCCACAAUUCUAAGCGAAGGAAGGACCACCGAAAGCGCUUUCAGUUGAGAUAUCUUAUUCCCCGCGAUCCUGAGAUUGUCGCAAGCAUUCCCACAUGAGGAAAUCUCGCGUUGAAGCGUGUCUGUGGUGCCGAUCCCAAUGAAGCGCUGGUGAGAUCGAUUGUAAAGACAACAGGAAUGGCAUGUCAACGACGUGUUGGUGCCGGAGCAACAGAUUUUCCGAAGGGCCAAAACUGGUUGGCGAUCAGCACAUUGGCAUGAUGGCUCACGUUGUAUCCGGAUUAAAUUUCAACACUACCUGACCACACCAAGAUGUUUGCGUCGGAAAGUUUAACACUUCCUGUCAGGAGCUGCGAGCGUUAUUCGUCGCCACUGCUCAGUUCAAGAUGGUCCCGGCCUCAACGCAGGUUUCGGUACAAGGACAAGAAGCCGUUUGCCUGGUGCAGUGCAAUUUGUACAUUCAAAACAUAUUCAACAAGCUAGUUUUAUUUUUAUUCACACAAAACUAUAUUUAUUUAUAACGACAUUUUUUAAAUAUAAUAAAGAACACAUGAUCAACAAAUUUGCAGAACUUCGUCGCAUCUCAGUGCUGGGAUAUUAAAAUCAUAAA